GCACUGCUGAGGAGUCCCACAAUAGGACGGAACUGCAGUCCUGUGC
rfam:Schistosoma rodhaini strain Burundi genome assembly, scaffold: SROB_scaffold0000325